GAGGACACGUCGCUGGAGAAGAAACAAAUAAACAUUUAAAAAAGUCUAUCAAACCACAAACUUCGGAAAAGUUCAAUUAAACAACCAUUAGUUUUUAGUUAGAGUAAAUUGUGCUAUUUUCACCUGUGUGCUAGUUUAACCUGUGUGACGCAGCUAACGUGCUAAGCUAGCAGCAACAGAAAGGGACGAAGACUCUCAACAAACAACCUUUCAAAGAACAACAAUAAUACUUAUGUCAACACAAACUAAAUGACUUUCAAAGAAGCAAGUGCAGUUUCGACAUCCCCAUGAAAGAGGAAGACUGCAAAUUGAGGAUCUGGGGGAAUACAUGGAGUCGAAGGGGGCGUCCUCUCCAGGGAUCCUGACCCUGACCACUAACCUGAGUAAACCCUUCACCAGACUGGAGAGAUACCCCACGCUGCUGAAAGAACUGGACCGACACAUGGAGGACAAACGUCACAUGGAGGCUGAACCUGGCCAUCAUGAACACAAGGAAACUGCACUGUGCUGAAGAGAACUGAUGGAACAUGAGAACUGGAUAAACAUUUGGUCAGGUCUGUGUCGCUGUCGUCUCACUGGGCGAAAGACAUGAUUGCAAACACACACACACUUUACUAAGCUGUGAUCAGCUAAGCGCCUCCUGAGUCCUCACAUCAUCCUACAGAGGAGAACACACAUCUGACUAUAUUGCAAAAAUAUUU